UACGUAGGGGGCGAGCGUUGUCCGGAUUCAUUGGGCGUAAAGCGCGCGUAGGCGGCUCGACAAGUCGGCCGUGAAAUCUCCAGGCUCAACUUGGAGGGGUCGGGCGAGACUGUCGGGCUCGAGGUGGGCAGAGGGCAGUGGAAUUCCGGGUGUAGUGGUGGAAUGCGCAGAGAUCCGGAGGAACACCAGUGGCGAAGGCGGCUGCCUGGGCCUGGCCUGACGCUGAGGCGCGAAAGCGUGGGGAGCGAUCCGG
rnacentral:rRNA from 1 species